CUUGGUAGAUGAUUCUGCCCUUCCUCUCAGACUGGCUACCAACAGUUUAGUUGGAAUUCUCAACCAUGUUAAUGAAUUUUGAAGAAAACCAACACCAUGAGAAAAAAAACAUGAAAGAAAUGAUAUUGGGGGAAAAAUAGCUACUCGAGAACAGCACCUAUGAUGGAACUGAUGCCAGGAUGUAGGUGCCAGAGCAGCAGGACACAACAGAAUCACCAAAAGCAGUGCUGACAAGGGAGGAAAAAGCUAUGUGACAUCUCGGGAACUAAGCGUAGCUCUUCAAGGAUCUCGGCUUUUGUAUUGAUCUGGGCUCCAAAGGUCAGAUCCCAGGCCUCAUAUCCAACCCCCGCUGGAGUCUUAAAAUGCAACUCCUUGGCUACCAGGACUGAGACCUCCAUAAACCGCGUG
rnacentral:lncRNA from 1 species